rnacentral:rRNA from 1 species
CAGCCGCCGCGGUAAUACAGAGGGUGCGAGCGUUAAUCGGAUUUACUGGGCGUAAAGCGUGCGUAGGCGGCUUUUUAAGUCGGAUGUGAAAUCCCUGAGCUUAACUUAGGAAUUGCAUUCGAUACUGGGAAGCUAGAGUAUGGGAGAGGAUGGUAGAAUUCCAGGUGUAGCGGUGAAAUGCGUAGAGAUCUGGAGGAAUACCGAUGGCGAAGGCAGCCAUCUGGCCUAAUACUGACGCUGAGGUACGAAAGCAUGGGGAGCAAACAGGAUUAGAUACCCGCGUAGUCCCUGUCUCUUAUAU